rnacentral:rRNA from 1 species
CCUACGGGGUGCAGCAGUGGGGAAUAUUGGACAAUGGGCGAAAGCCUGAUCCAGCCAUGCCGCGUGUGUGAAGAAGGCCUUCGGGUUGUAAAGCACUUUCAGUGGGGAAGAAAGCCUUGGGGCUAAUACCCUCGAGGAAGGACAUCACCCACAGAAGAAGCACCGGCUAACUCCGUGCCAGCAGCCGCGGUAAUACGGAGGGUGCGAGCGUUAAUCGGAAUUACUGGGCGUAAAGCGCGCGUAGGCGGUCUGAUAAGCCGGUUGUGAAAGCCCCGGGCUCAACCUGGGAACGGCAUCCGGAACUGUCAGGCUAGAGUACAGGAGAGGAAGGUAGAAUUCCCGGUGUAGCGGUGAAAUGCGUAGAGAUCGGGAGGAAUACCAGUGGCGAAGGCGGUCUUCUGGACUGACACUGACGCUGAGGUGCGAAAGCGUGGGUAGCAAACAGGAUUAGAUACCCGAGUAGUC